rfam:Cavia porcellus supercont2_7 genomic scaffold, whole genome shotgun sequence.
GGGGAUUUAGCUCAGCGGCAUAAGCGCCUGCCUUGCAAGCAGGCAGUUGUGAGUUCGAUCCCCG